CUCAGAAUGCUGAGGCUGCUGAGGGAUAUCCCACAUGGACUGGAUUGCUUCCUGGCUCAUUUGGGGCUCUCAGCUCUCCAUAGGAGAUCCAUCACCUCUUCUGUGGUGAGACACAACACUCAGUGCCCGACUCCUGCAGCACAGAAUGGUCCCCUCCCACCUUGGGAAAAUCCUUUGAAGAUUAUCAGUUCUACUUUCAAGAGAGCUGCCAAAGCAAAGCCUUGCAUGUGUCAAUAACUCGUGAAAARUGAUUGCUCAUUUCUGUGAUAUCUACCAAGAAUGGGAGAUUUAGCAAGAGUUUCUAAGUUCCUCAGACAUUUAGAAAAGACCCCAAGCCCUUUCUACAAUUGAUGUCUUGGCAAGGAUGAUGUGUCACCACCUGAGGAC